GCUCUCUGCCCGCGCCCGUGGGCCCCACCCCCCUUUCUUCCUCCUUAAAACUGGACUAUCCCCAAUCCCAUCCACCCUCAGCAGCUCCAGCAACCCGCGAGCCAAAAAUCUCUCCUCCGAUCGCGCCAUACCUCGCCGCCUACUGCUCGUUGUCCGCGAGCGAGCGUAGCACGGUAGGGAGUAGCUGGCCUGGUCCAAGAAAAAUCCAAACACAGAGCAGAGGAGCACACAGCCUCGAGGAAGGAAGAAACAGAGCGGCUUUGCUGCUUGGGAGGUGGCCGGCGAGAGAGAUGGGGCAGCUCAGGGCGGCAGCGGGAGCCGGCGGAGACUGCCUGAUCAAGCUGUUCGGGAAGACCAUCCCCGUGCCGGACGCCGGCGCCGGAGACGUCCACAAGGACCUUCAGCACAGAGGCAGCACCACGGCUGAACCAAAGGUGCAAGAAAUCGCCCCUCAGGACUCCAUGGGCUCGCCUCAGCAGCCGGAGGUUGUGGACGUCGAGGAUCCAUCUGCUGCCAAGAACUCAGCAGCAGAUCAACAAGACGAAGAACAGGGGGACACGGCCAACCAGAAGGAGAAGCUCAAGAAGCCUGACAAGAUCCUGCCCUGCCCACGCUGUAGCAGCAUGGACACCAAGUUCUGCUACUACAACAACUACAACAUCAACCAGCCGCGCCACUUCUGCAAGAACUGCCAGAGGUACUGGACGGCCGGAGGCGCCAUGCGCAACGUGCCCGUCGGCGCAGGCCGCCGCAAGAGCAAGAGCAUAUCGGCCGCCUCCCACUUCCUUCAGAGGAUAAGGGCCGCUCUGCCCGGUGAUCCUCUCUGCACCCCAGUCAACACCAAUGGCACGGUGCUCAGCUUCGGCUCCAAUGCGUCCACCUUAGACGUCUCAGAACAGAUGAAGCACAUAAAGGAGCUCAACUCAGUAACCCGGACCGAGAACACCGAUGCCCCGUCAGUAGGGUCUUCUGCUGAAGGAUGGGCAAAGGGAGAAGAGUCGAGCCAAAUGAACUCGAGGGAGAGAGUUGCAGCAGAGAGAUCCGCAAAUUGUGCGCAGCAUCCAUGCAUGAACGGGGCAGCCAUGUGGCCAUUCAGUUGUGCACCGUCACCUGCCUAUUUCGCCUCAAACGUAGCAAUUCCAUUCUAUCCAGCUGCUGCUGCUGCCUACUGGGGCUGCAUGGUUCCGGGAGCCUGGAACACUCCAUGGCAGCCACAGCCACAGCCGCAGCCGCAGCCGCAGUGUCAAUCUAGCUCACUACCUAGUGCUGCUUCUCCGGUAUCGACAAUGUCCAGUUGCUUCCAAUCCCGAAAGCAUCCUAGAGAUGGUGACGAGGAAAGAGAUACCAAGGGUAAUGGCAAGGUGUGGGUGCCCAAGACGAUCCGGAUCGAUGACGUAGAUGAGGUAGCCAGGAGUUCUAUCUGGUCACUUAUUGGGAUCAAGGGUGACAAGGUGGAGAAGGAUGAUGGCAAAGGGUGUAAGCUUGCAAGGGUUUUUGAUCCAAAGGAUGAGGCAAAGAUGUCAAGCCACAGAGGUAACAAUAGCCUGCCAUUCUUGAAGGGGAACCCAGCUGCACUGUCGCGCUCAGUGAACUUCCAAGAGAGAUCUUGAGCACCAUCUGGAAAUUCUUCAUGCUGCCUUCUGCUACUAUAAAACCAUGUAGCAUGAUACAGCUGAAAUUUUGUACAUUAGAUAAUUGCAUACUAGAUAAGAGACAUGGAGUGUUCAACAUAGCUAUAAGCAGAUCCUGUAACUGUAGCUGUACUAGGUAACUUGUAGAUAGCUAUUUGGGUUGGGGAAGAUUGGGAGCAGAAGUUCCUGUAUCUGUAGAUAAAUAUGAUAUAUUGAUUGGAAUGUUUGGCAGGGCUACCUUUGCACGAUAGCACCGAAACAAUUGGUAGCUGUCUGAUCCCAUUGUAUAACAAAGAUGAGUCCACUGCA
rnacentral:rRNA from 1 species